rnacentral:rRNA from 1 species
GACGAACGCCGGCGGCGCGCCUAACACAUGCAAGUCGAACGAGCAAAGAGGAGCUUGCUUCUCUGAGCGAGUGGCGAACGGGUGAGUAACGCGUGAGGAACCUGCCUCAAAGAGGGGGACAACAGUUGGAACGACUGCUAAUACCGCAUAAGCCCACGGGUCGGCAUCGACCAGAGGGAAAAGGAGCAAUCCGCUUUGAGAUGGCCUCGCGUCCGAUUAGCUAGUUGGUGAGGUAAUGGCCCACCAAGGCGACGAUCGGUAGCCGGACUGAGAGGUUGAACGGCCACAUUGGGACUGAGACACGGCCCAGACUCCUACGGGAGGCAGCAGUGGGGAAUAUUGCACAAUGGGGGGAAACCCUGAUGCAGCGACGCCGCGUGGAGGAAGAAGGUCUUCGGAUUGUAAACUCCUGUUGUUGAGGAAGAUAAUGACGGUACUCAACAAGGAAGUGACGGCUAACUACGUG